rnacentral:sRNA from 1 species
AGAUACCAGGGGCAAAAGGCGGGAAAACGAACACAGACCUGCCUGCGGGAGAAUUUUAACCUUCUGCCCUGUCAAAACACAAAUGAAGAAACCGUUUGAAAGAAAAACGGGAGGAAUAUGAAUGUUUUUAAGGGCCGAAAACGCGCGCGGCGCGAAACGGUCCGGUAUCA